rnacentral:lncRNA from 1 species
UCCUGUCUGAGCCUCAUAGACAGUUGGAACUGCAGGUAUGUGUCACUGCACCUGGUAGCAUCAUAUUUUUAAUAAUAAAUACUAUUCAUGUAUGUGUCUUAGUACAGAUUAUUGAAGCCCACAUGAUGUAAGCACCAGGAGAUGGAGAAUACACAAAAGAAACGUUCAUCAUGAUUAGAGUAGGAAGAAAAAAUAAAAUUCAACGUUAGACCCACAGACCCCUGCUCUGAGAGCUGCUUCUGGAGUCAGUGAUGCAUACAAAGAUCUGUACACAGGUGGGUGAUCCAUUACUCACCCGGAGGUCCCCUUGGGACUGUGGUGCCACUGACUGAGCACUUCUAUUACAUUCAUCACUGUUGUCAUCAUUACUCAAACGAUGGAGCAGAAUGAGAAUGAAAAAUGGACAUGAGCUAUGGAGACAAGCUGGUGUGAGGAUGAUGGGACACUGGUAUUAUAGUUAGUCUGAACACAGCCGAUAAAUAAAGACAUAGCGUAACAAAUCAAAGCAAGGCUUCUAUUGGAAACCCAUUGGUUGGAAAUAUGAAUUUUCAUGUUCUGUCACAAAGCUGAAUUAGUCUUUUACAAAUUUUGCCUCCUGAAAGAAAGCUUCCAACAAGCUAAAUAUUAAGCCUGCUAUAAAUUCAUGCCUAAUAUAAGAUGAUAUUUCCUUUCUGCAAAGGAAAAAUAAGAUGAUUCAGUCCAUGAGUAGAUUGAAAAGUGCAUUGGAGUUUGGAAUUCACAAAGUCAUAAAAUUAAUGUGUGGUGAGGGAUUAGCCUUUAUGACAACAUACAAGGAAAUGCACCAAUAAGAAAUUUGCUCAGAAGAUAAACUGUUUUUUUCCUGCCUACUGCCCAUCUGGC